GACGAACGCUGGCGGCGUGCCUAAUACAUGCAAGUUGAGCGAUGAAGAUUGGUGCUUGCACCAAUUUGAAGAGCAGCGAACGGGUGAGUAACGCGUGGGGAAUCUGCCUUUGAGCGGGGGACAACAUUUGGAAACGAAUGCUAAUACCGCAUAACAACUUUAAACAUAAGUUUUAAGUUUGAAAGAUGCAAUUGCAUCACUCAAAGAUGAUCCCGCGUUGUAUUAGCUAGUUGGUGAGGUAAAGGCUCACCAAGGCGAUGAUACAUAGCCGACCUGAGAGGGUGAUCGGCCACAUUGGGACUGAGACACGGCCCAAACUCCUACGGGAGGCAGCAGUAGGGAAUCUUCGGCAAUGGACGUAAGUCUGACCGAGCAACGCCGCGUGAGUGAAGAAGGUUUUCGGAUCGUAAAACUCUGUUGGUAGAGAAGAACGUUGGUGAGAGUGGAAAGCUCAUCAAGUGACGGUAACUACCCAGAAAGGGACGGCUAACUACGUG
rnacentral:rRNA from 1 species